AAUCUUGCUGCUCCUCACUCUUUGGGUCUGCGCCACCUUUAUGAGCUGUUAACACUCACCACGAAGGUCUGCAGCUUCACUCCUGAAGGCAGCGAGACCACAAACCCACAGGGAGGGACGAACAACUCUGGAGGGGAGGAACGAACAACUCCAGAUGCACCACCUUUAUGAACUGUAACACUCACCAUGAAGGUCUGCAGCUUCACUCCUGAGGCCAGUGAGACCACGAACCCACAGGAAGGAAUGAACAACUCCAGACAUGCCACCUUUAAGAGCUUUAACACUCACUGCGAAGGUCUGCUGCUUCACCUCUGAAGUCAGCGAGACCAUGAACCCACCAGAAGGAAGAAACUCCGGACACAUCUGAACAUCAGAAGGAACAAACUCUGGACACACCAUCUUUAAGAACUCUAACACUCACCAUGACAUCCGCGGCUUCAUUCUUGAAGUCAGCGAGACCAAGAACCCACCAAUUCCAGACACAUUUUGGUGACCCAGAUGGGAUUAUUGCCUAUCACCAAGCGGUGAGACCAUUGCUAAGUGGUGAGACCAUCGCCUAUCACUAAGCGGUGAGACUAUCACCUAUCGCCGAGCGAGGCUGUACUGGAAUGUGUCAGGAAAGUGAAAAGUCUCUGGUUGUUAGUCUGCAGUGGCCAUACAGGUAGUUCUUCAAUCAAGACUACAUUGAACAAGGAUGGUGAUGCAGCUUAUACAGCAGAAAACACUGUUGGUGCUGAAAUAGUUCGUACAAGAGAAUGACUAUGGAUCACUUAAUUAAGCUCCUCUUACUUCUAGGCCAGGUCCAUGGUUAGCAACAUGAUGAAGGAUGCCAGCUUCCCCUGAAGAUCAACCCAUCAUCGAAGUUGAAAACUUUGAGAUCACAAGACACCAAUAGACGUUCCAGUACAUCUUUGUGGAUUCCAAGACAUCCUCACAGAAUGGAGUCUCUGUCGCCCGGCUGGAGUGCAGUGGUGCAAUCUCGGCUCACUGCAACCUCCGCCUCCUGGGUUCCAGCGAUUCUCCUGCCUCAACCUCCUGAGUAGCUGGGACUACAGGCAUGCACCACCAUGCACAUGGGCAAUUUUUUAUAGCAGGGAGUGGAAUGUAACAUUUGUACUUACUGUAUGAGAUUCAAGUGUAAUUAGUCUCCUAUUAUCAAAUACAUUCAGAUUCAUAAAUCAAAGGCCUGUAAUUAUUGCCUCCAGUAUGUCAACUGCUAAAACUACCUUUUUUUUUCCCUAAAAACGAUUUUGUUACUGCUCCAUAGAUUAGCUCCCACAAAACUGCCAAGUCAAAAUGUAGGCUUUAUUUUUGCUGUCUAGAAAUGAACUUCUAUUAGGAACUACUGUGAUAUUUAAUUCUUAGCAAAAUGCAUCCAAUGAAAAUAAAGUAAUACAUUCAGUUUCUGAUUUGAAAAGGAUUCGCAAUGUGUUAGGUGGUGGUGUUUUCUGGGUUGCCCCCUUGCAGAGCUAGAGCAGGCCCUUGCUCUUCCUUGAUGGCUGGGCAUCUGCCAUGACUUCUGUCACUGCUUGAUAGACAACACUUUUUCUCCUCUGCUUGAUGAAACCAAUUAUUUUCUUUUCCCGAGAGUGUGUCAAUUAUGCCAUUGUCAUCGUGGCAGCCAAAGGCAUAUUAGUGCUAUUUUCUGUUAAAUUCACUUUGAAAUCUCAGCAUUUGGUUCCAAGAUCAAUCUGUUCCCUCCCCUCCUUUUUAUUUUUAUUUUUUUCUGUACUGUAAUUGUAUUUUGUUAUCUCUUUUGAUAUGAAAGUGUCUGCACUUGACAUACUGUCAGAGUAUUUUUCUUUAUCUCUAAUACUUUAUUGUAUAUGUCACUGUGAUUGUACGAUUGUGUCAAAAUAUUUGUCACAUUCUCACUUUUGAUGUUUAGUAUUUGUCCUAUUACUGCUACAGAUGCAAGAUAACCUUUUAUCAAAUACUUUUAUAGACUUCAGAAAGUCUCAAAGAGUGGUGAAAGAGAAGUUAUUCCUGUUAUUUCUGAAGCGUUCUGCAUAUAAUUUAAAAACAGAGAAAAGAAGUUUCUCAAAUACACAGAUUUCCCAGGUUGCUUGUUAAAGUUGUCAAUUUCACUGAACCCUCUUCAUGAAUUGUUUUCCUGUCAUGUUAAAUAAAUAAAGAAUUUUUC
rnacentral:lncRNA from 1 species